rnacentral:tRNA from 1 species
ACCUGACUGGCUCAGUUGGUAGAGCGUGUGAUUCUUGAUCUCAGGGUUGUGAGUUUGAGCCCCACGUUACUUA